rnacentral:rRNA from 1 species
AGUCGAGCGGAGUGCUUCGGCACUUAGUGGCGGACGGGUGAGUAACGCGUGAGAAUCUGGCUUUGGGUUCGGGACAACCAUUGGAAACGAUGGCUAAUACCGGAUGUGCCGGGAGGUGAAAGAUUAAUUGCCCAAAGAAGAGCUCGCGUCUGAUUAGCUAGUUGGUGGGGUAAGAGCCUACCAAGGCAGCGAUCAGUAGCUGGUCUGAGAGGAUGAUCAGCCACACUGGGACUGAGACACGGCCCAGACUCCUACGGGAGGCAGCAGUGGGGAAUUUUCCGCAAUGGGCGAAAGCCUGACGGAGCAAUACCGCGUGAGGGAGGAAGGCUCUUGGGUUGUAAACCUCUUUUCUUCGGGAAGAACAAAAUGACGGUACCGAAGGAAUAAGCAUCGGCUAACUCCGUGCCAGCAGCCGCGGUAAUACGGAGGAUGCAAGCGUUAUCCGGAAUAAUUGGGCGUAAAGCGUCCGCAGGUGGCGAUUCAAGUCUGCUGUUAAAGGUCCUGGCUCAACUGGGAUAUGGCAGUGGAAACUGAAGAGCUAGAGUGCGGUAGGGGUAGAGGGAAUUCCCGGUGUAGCGGUGAAAUGCGUAGAGAUCGGGAAGAACACCAGUGGCGAAAGCGCUCUACUAGGCCUGCACUGACACUCAGGGACGAAAGCUAGGGGAGCGAAUGGGAUUAGAUACCCCAGUAGUCCUAGCCGUAAACGAUGGAUACUAG